GAUAGACUGGUAUCAUUUUGAAGCGGGAAUUGCUGUAGUUUCUACAAAAUCAGUCAUUUGGUUUGUGAUUGUUAUGGAGAUGUUACUUAAAUCAGCAGAUUGAUAAGAAAUGGCUCAAAGGAAAACACUCGAGAAGACAUUAAUGGAUUACAUAACAAUAGUAACAACAAAUAAAAGGAUAUGCAAAUAGUUCUGGAUUAACUGGGUAGACUGAGGAACUUGGUGAAGAAUGUGGUUCAAUGCAAAUGAGUAAUGCAGCCCGUCAUUUGUGAAAGGUCAGCAGAAACAAGUGAAGGUCAAAAUAGCAGGAGAAACCCUGAUGAAGUUUAAAGGGAAACUUGAAAAACUAUUACGACGAUGGUACACUACCUAAUUUUGCAAUAAGAGUAAAGGCAUUGAGAUCAAGUCACAGAACGAAGAUGGUUAAAAGAAACAAAUAUGCCAAACAUUCUGGAAAAUAAAAGAUUUGGAGCUCGCACUUUGUAUUCCCAUCUUUCUUAUAUAUUUUUGAGUAUCAGUCCUUUUGUACCAUUUCAGAUGUCUUCACUGCAAUAAUGUGUAGAUGUCCAGUUGUAUGUAGUGAAUGGGGUUUUGUGCAAGUGUACAUUGUUUUAGGACACCUGAUAUCACUUUUUGUUUCAUCUUUGGAGAACUGAUCAUUGCUCACCUGUAUUAAGGAGUCUUAAAAUAUUCCCUGCACCAGAUAAUGACCAGGUGAACUGGGAUGUGGGAUGAUAAAAUUCAAGAUUUCCAACAGCAAAGAGAACAGGUAUUACGUUUAUUUUACUUGAAGUGGUGUGUCAUGCAAUUCUGACGAGAUCUUUGGAGACCACAUUGGAUGAUAUUGGACUUUAGCAGAAGAUGAGGAGAAUGGUGCUUAGUGAAGUGUAGAGUUCAGAGGACAGUCACAUGUCAUAGAUUUGGUACAGAUAUAUGAAAGGAGAGAGAGAACUAUGAAAUGAUAAUUGAAUGAAAUAAUUGCAACGUUGUUAGAUUAUGUAGGAUGUCUCUGUUAAAGAGAAACAAGGUUUCGGAAAGUUAGUCUAUUUUGUUGCGGGCCUAAAUAUUGACUAUUAUUACCUGGUCCCACAAUGGAAAGUAUAAAAAUACUGAGCAAAACCCUAGUGGUCACCAGCCAACCACUGAUGAUAACAAUGUCCCACAACAAUAAACUACAGAAUAUUUAUAGAGAUAAAUAAGUUUUACAAUAAAUUAUAAAAGCUGGAAAUAUUUAUUUCAGAGAGUCCAGUUCUGAAGGAGAGGGAUCUUCUGAGAGUGGCUAAGAGGUUAGGACGUGAUUGGUGGCAAAUAGUUAUUGUUUUAGAAGUUGAUACAACUAAACUGAAAAUUGAUGAUGAGUCUAAUGUCACUGUAAAACAAGGCUACCAGAUUCUUUACGAAUGGUU